rnacentral:rRNA from 1 species
CCUACGGGAGGCAGCAGUGAGGAAUAUUGGUCAAUGGGCGGGAGCCUGAACCAACCAAGUCGCGUGAAGGAAGAAGGUACUUAGUAUUGUAAACUUCUUUUGUAGGGGAACAAAAGCGGAGACGCGUCUCCGGAUGAGUGUACCCGAUGAAAAAGCAUCGGCUAACUCCGUGCCAGCAGCCGCGGUAAUACGGAGGAUGCGAGCGUUAUCCGGAUUUAUUGGGUUUAAAGGGUGCGUAGGCGGGAGAUCAAGUCAGCGGUAAAAUGUCGGGGCUCAACCCCGGCCGGCCGUUGAAACUGGCUGUCUAGAGUUGGAGAGAGGUAUGCGGAAUGCGUGGUGUAGCGGUGAAAUGCAUAGAUAUCACGAAGAACUCCGAUUGCGAAGGCAGCAUACCGGCUCCAUACUGACGCUGAGGCACGAAAGCGUGGGGAUCGAACAGGAUUAGAUACCCUAGUAGUC